CAAGUAAAAUGAACUUAAAUAUUUUUAAAUAUCAGUUGACAGAGGUAAUAGAUGAUCAUUUUAAUGCAAUUUGCUUAAUAUAAAUAACUUUUUUGAAAAGUGAAAUGUGUAGCCCUUGAAAAUGAUCCAACUUCAUUAUGACCUCUUUGUAGACCAAUUUGUUGAGAUCUGCAAAAUAAGUACCUAUAAUUACAAUGACUUUUCCAUUUGAUGAAAAUUUUUCUCCUGCCAAGUAUUUUUCAAAUUUACUGACAGAUAACAGUUGGAGGGGCCAAAUCUAUGAGACUACAGUUCGUAGGAAAUCAAUCCAAAGUCCACUUCUUAAAUUUUUGAAGAUGCAGUUCAAAAUGAAUGAGUCAGUGCAUUGUUAUGAUGAUAGCACCUUUUUCUUUGCCCAAACCUGAUUUUUUUUGUUUCAGUUAUUCCAAUAAGUUAACAUAAUACUCCUUAGGAUAUAGUCUUGCCCUUUGGGAGUCAGUCAUGAUGCCAUUUAUUUCCCAAAAAACCAGAGACUCUGUACUUUCCAUUAUUUGAAUUGUGUUUUAAUGCCUGCCGUAUAGUGAUGAACCCGUGUCUCAUUUGUAGUGAUAAAUCUCUUCAUAAAAUUACUUGAGUUCAUUGAAAAUCAAUUCAAAUGCUGUUGGGAAAUUUGGUGCCAAUUGUUUUUGUUCCAGAGCAUGUAAAUACAGAUAUCUCUCCAAUAACAUGGCUUCCUACAACACAGUUUUACUCUAAC
rnacentral:lncRNA from 1 species